AGCGAACGUUAGCGGCGGGCUUAACACAUGCAAGUCGAACGUGAAAGCCUCUUCGGGGGCAAGUAAAGUGGCGUACGGGUGAGUAACACGUAGGUAACCUGUCCUGAGGUCCGGGAUAACCAUUGGAAACGAUGGCUAAUACCGGGUAAGUCUGAGACGUCUAUGGAUGUUUCGGAGAAAGAUGAGAUUUCACCUUAGGAGGGGCCUGCGUCCCAUCAGUUAGAUGGUAGGGUAAUGGCCUACCAUGACAUCGACGGGUAACUGGUCUGAGAGGAUGGCCAGUCACACUGGGACUGAGACACGGCCCAGACUCCUACGGGAGGCAGCAGUGGGGAAUAUUGGACAAUGGGCGAAAGCCUGAUCCAGCCACGCCGCGUGAAGGAAGAAGGUCUUCGGAUCG
rnacentral:rRNA from 1 species